CUACGGGUGGCUCCAGUGAGGAAUAUUGCACAAUGGGGGAAACCCUGAUGCAGCAACGCCGCGUGGGGGAUGACGCAUUUCGGUGUGUAAACUCCUUUUAUAUGUCAAGAAAAUGACGGUAGCAUAUGAAUAAGCACCGGCUAACUCCGUGCCAGCAGCCGCGGUAAUACGGAGGGUGCAAGCGUUACUCGGAAUCACUGGGCGUAAAGGACGCGUAGGCUGGUUGGUAAGUCAGGUGUGAAAUCCUACAGCUUAACUGUAGAACUGCACUUGAAACUACCAACCUAGAGUAUGGGAGGGGGAGAUGGAAUUAGUGGUGUAGGGGUAAAAUCCGUAGAUAUCACUAGGAAUACCGAAAGCGAAGGCGAUCUCCUGGAACAUAACUGACGCCAAGGCGUGAAAGCGUGGGGAGCAAACAGGAUUAGAUACCCUCGUAGUC
rnacentral:rRNA from 1 species